rnacentral:rRNA from 1 species
UACGGAGGGGGGCUAGCGUUGUUCGGAAUUACUGGGCGUAAAGCGCGCGUAGGCGGACCUGCAAGUCGGGGGUGAAAGCCCGAGGCUCAACCUCGGAAUUGCCUUCGAUACUGCGGGUCUCGAGUCCGGGAGAGGUGAGUGGAAUUCCUAGUGUAGAGGUGAAAUUCGUAGAUAUUCGCAGGAACACCAGUGGCGAAGGCGGCUUACUGGUCCAUUACUGACGCUGAGGUGGCGAAAGCGUGGGGAGCAAACAGG